rnacentral:rRNA from 1 species
GGCUUAGUGGUGGGGUGACUGCGUACCUUUUGUAUAAUGGGUCAGCGACUUAUAUUCUGUAGCAAGGUUAACCGAAUAGGGGAGCCGGAGGGAAACCGAGUCUUAAUUGGGCGUUAAGUUGCAGGGUAUAGACCCGAAACCCGGUGAUCUAGCCAUGGGCAGGUUGAAGGUUGGGUAACACUAACUGGAGGACCGAACCGACUAAUGUUGAAAAAUUAGCGGAUGACCUGUGGCUGGGGGUGAAAGGCCAAUCAAACCGGGAGAUAGCUGGUUCUCCCCGAAAGCUAUUUAGGUAGCGCCUCGUGAAUUCAUCUCCGGGGGUAGAGCACUGUUUCGGCUAGGGGGCCAUCCCGGCUUACCAACCCGAUGCAAACUGCGAAUACCGGAGAAUGUUAUCACGGGAGACACACGGCGGGUGCUAACGUCCGUCGUGAAGAGGGAAACAACCCAGACCGCCAGCUAAGGUCCCAAAGUCAUGGUUAAGUGGGAAACGAUGUGGGAAGGCCCAGACAGCCAGGAUGUUGGCUUAGAAGCAGCCAUCAUUUAAAGAAAGCGUAAUAGCUCACUGGUCGAGUCGGCCUGCGCGGAAGAUGUAACGGGGCUAAACCAUGCACCGAAGCUGCGGCAGCGAACGUAUCACUUAAAGCGAUUCAGCGGGUUACGAUUGACGGAGCGAAGCGACGUCAAAGCGUAUACAAAGUCGAGUCGGUUUAAGGAUACGUU